CAUAACGAGGCUGUGACCUAUAUUUGCUCGGAGCUGUCUGCAGGUCCAGAUUUACAUGACGCUGAUACUGACGCCAUUGUGUCUGCCUGUUAGACAUGACGAGACAGCACGCAAGAGCUUCAGGUAGAAACACCCAGAUGUGGCAUCGCGGGAAGAAGCUGUGAAGAGUUUAGCUCGGAGUCGGUCGAGAAGAAAAGAGGCUGCUGGAAGCGAGACAGUGCUGGCUGCGGGUGAGGUGACAUUUGGAAGUGCUCCACCAUAGACCUACAGGACAACGCACCACAGACGUCUGCUAAAUGGACCGAAUCAGACCGAAUGCUGCCGGUUACCUACAGC